rnacentral:rRNA from 1 species
GAGUUUGAUCAUGGCUCAGAACGUACGCUGGCGGCACGCCUAACACAUGCAAGUCGAACGAAGUAGCAAUACUUAGUGGCAGACGGGUGAGUAACAUGUAGGUAUCUGCCCUUUGGCCUGGAAUAACACGAGGAAACUUGUGCUAAUACCGGAUAAGUCUUUACGGAGAAAGCUUUAUGCACCAUUGGAUGAGCCUGCACUUGAUUAGUUUGUUGGUGGGGUAAUGGCCUACCAAGACUGUGAUCAAUAGCUGAUUUGAGAGGAUGAUCAGCCACAUUGGGACUGAGACACGGCCCAAACUCCUACGGGAGGCAGCAGUGGGGAAUCUUGCACAAUGGAGGAAACUCUGAUGCAGCGAUGCCGCGUGAGUGAAGAAGGCCCUUGGGUUGUAAAGCUCUUUCGUCGGGGAAGAAAAUGACUGUACCCGAAUAAGAAGGUCCGGCUAACUACGUGCCAGCAGCCGCGGUAAUACGAAGGGACCUAGCGUAGUUCGGAAUUACUGGGCUUAAAGAGUUCGUAGGUGGUUGAAAAAGUUGGUGGUGAAAUCCCAGAGCUUAACUCUGGAACUGCCAUCAAAACUUUUCAGCUAGAGUUUGAUAGAGGAAAGCAGAAUUUCUAGUGUAGAGGUGAAAUUCGUAGAUAUUAGAAAGAAUACCAAUUGCGAAGGCAGCUUUCUGGAUCAUUACUGACACUGAGGAACGAAAGCAUGGGUAGCGAAGAGGAUUAGAUACCCUCGUAGUCCAUGCCGUAAACGAUGUGUGUUAGACGUUGGAAAUUUAUUUUCAGUGUCGCAGCGAAAGCGAUAAACACACCGCCUGGGGAGUACGACCGCAAGGUUAAAACUCAAAUGAAUUGACGGGGACCCGCACAAGUAGUGGAGCAUGUGGUUUAAUUCGAAGAUACGCGCAGAACCUUACCAACACUUGACAUGUUCGUCGCGACUCUAAGAGAUUAGAGUUUUCGGUUCGGCCGGACGAAACACAGGUGCUGCAUGGCUGUCGUCAGCUCGUGUCGUGAGAUGUUGGGUUAAGUCCCGCAACGAGCGCAACCCUCACUUUUAGUUGCCAUCAUUAAGUUGGGCACUCUGAAAGAACUGCCAGUGAUAAGCUGGAGGAAGGUGGGGAUGACGUCAAGUCCUCAUGGCCCUUACGUGUUGGGCUACACACGUGCUACAAUGGUAUUUACAACAGGAAGCAAGACUGCGAAGUUAAGCAAAUCCCUAAAAGAUACCUCAGUUCGGAUUGCACUCUGCAACUCGAGUGCAUGAAGCUGGAAUUACUAGUAAUCGUGGAUCAGCGUGCCACGGUGAAUGCGUUCCCGGGUCUUGUACACACCGCCCGUCACACCAUGGGAGUUGGUUCUACCUUAAGGCAAGGUUUUAAACCCUUGACCACGGUAUAGUCAGCGACUGGGGUGAAGUCGUAACAAGGUAACC